AUUGAACGCUGGCGGCAUGCUUUACACAUGCAAGUCGAACGGUAACAGGCCGCAAGGUGCUGACGAGUGGCGAACGGGUGAGUAAUGCAUCGGAACGUGCCCAGUCGUGGGGGAUAACGCAGCGAAAGCUGCGCUAAUACCGCAUACGAUCUAUGGAUGAAAGCGGGGGACCGUAAGGCCUCGCGCGAUUGGAGCGGCCGAUGUCAGAUUAGGUAGUUGGUGGGGUAAAGGCUCACCAAGCCAACGAUCUGUAGCUGGUCUGAGAGGACGACCAGCCACACUGGGACUGAGACACGGCCCAGACUCCUACGGGAGGCAGCAGUGGGGAAUUUUGGACAAUGGGCGCAAGCCUGAUCCAGCAAUGCCGCGUGAGUGAAGAAGGCCUUCGGGUUGUAAAGCUCUUUUGUCAGGGAAGAAACGGCUGAGGUUAAUACCUUCGGCUAAUGACGGUACCUGAAGAAUAAGCACCGGCUAACUACGUGCCAGCAGCCGCGGUAAUAC
rnacentral:rRNA from 1 species